rnacentral:rRNA from 1 species
AUUGAACGCUGGCGGCAUGCUUUACACAUGCAAGUCGAACGGGCUUAGGUGCUUGCACCUAAGUUAGUGGCGAACGGGUGAGUAAUGCAUCGGAACGUACCGUGUAGUGGGGGAUAACCCGGCGAAAGUCGGAUUAAUACCGCAUACGAUCUAAGGAUGAAAGCAGGGGAUCGCAAGACCUUGCGCUAUACGAGCGGCCGAUGUCGGAUUAGCUAGUGGGUAGGGUAAAGGCCUACCAAGGCAACGAUCCGUAGCGGGUCUGAGAGGAUGACCCGCCACAGUGGGGCUGAGCCAAGGCCCAGACUCCUACGGGAGGCCGCAGUGGGGAAUUUUGGACAAUGGGCGAAAGCCUGAUCCAGCCAUGCCGCGUGAGUGAAGGAGGCCUUCGGGUUGUAAAGCUCUUUUGUCCGGGAGCAAAUCUUCUGGGUUAAUACCUCGGGAGGAUGACGGUACCUGAAGAAUAAGCACCGGCUAACUACGUGCCAGCCGCCGCCGUAAUAC